GUUCUCGUGGCCUAAUGGAUAAGGCGCUUGCCUCCAAAGCAGGAGAUCGUGGUUUUGAAUCCCAUCGUGAACU